AGCAGUAGCCGCGGUAAGACAGAGGAUGCAAGCGUUAUCCGGAAUGAUUGGGCGUAAAGCGCACGCAGGCGGUUUGUUAAGUCAGAUGUGAAAUCCCCGAGCUUAACUUGGGAACUGCAUUUGAAACUGGCAAGCUAGAGUCUUGUAGAGGGGGGUAGAAUUCCAGGUGUAGCGGUGAAAUGCGUAGAGAUCUGGAGGAAUACCGGUGGCGAAGGCGGCCCCCUGGACAAAGACUGACGCUCAGGUGCGAAAGCGUGGGGAGCAAACAGGAUUAGAUACCCGGGUAGUCCCUGUCUCUUAUAC
rnacentral:rRNA from 1 species